UUCUUCCUCGGCUUUUAAUGGCGGUUAACAAACAAGCUUGUAGGUACUUUACCGCCACCUGCGGUGUGACCUGGAGCGUGAAGCAGAAGAUUGGCACACAAUCAGUGACUGGAAGUUUGGAUGGAAAAAUGGAGGCAUUUAAGGGAAAGAAAGGAAAAAAAAAAAACAUUACAAGAUAUCUGAAGAAUUUCAUCGGAUCACGAGCAAAGACCCCCUGGGGACUUUCAAUGCAUCCCUUGACAAAUUUGGGCCUGGCCUGCUGAAAAUCUACAGGUCUAAGAAAGGAGCUUUUGGUCAGGAGAUGGAGGACCUCCUUGAUCAAUUUGAUGAUCAGACAUCCGACAUUGUGUCCCACUGGAAAACAGCAGCACUGAGAGGCCUGCCUAUCUACCUCUGCGAAGAUGCAACCAAGUUUUUCCUGAAGUGCUUGGACACCAACACUUUGGGAAUAAUCAUUAUUUACAUGUUCAGUAAGCCUAGUGUUGAUGUCAAAUACUCAGCAUGGAGGAAGAUUCACCCCAAAUGUUAUUAGAAUAUAGAGCAGUAUGCAUGUUGUUUUUUACACAUGUUGUAUUUAUGAUGGUUUUCCUGUGUUCACUGGUAAACUGAAUAAAAAAUUUCAGAUAACAUUCA